rnacentral:rRNA from 1 species
UACAGAGGUGCCAAGCGUUGUUCGGAUUUAUUGGGCGUAAAGAGCUCGUAGGCGGUGUGUCGCGUCGGCCGUGAAAACCUGCAGCUUAACUGUGGGCGUGCGGUCGAUACGGGCAUCACUGGAGUUCGGCAGGGGAGACUGGAAUUCCUGGUGUAGCGGUGAAAUGCGCAGAUAUCAGGAGGAACACCGGUGGCGAAGGCGGGUCUCUGGGCCGAUACUGACGCUGAGGAGCGAAAGCGUGGGGAGCGAACAGG